AUUGAACGUUGGCGGCAGGCUUAAAACAUGCAAGUCGAACGGUAACGCGGGGCAACCUGGCGACGAGUGGCUGACGGGUGAGUAACACGUAGGAAUCUGCCCAUUGGUGGGGGAUAACCCGGGGAAACUCGGGCUAAUACCGCAUACGCCCUGAGGGGGAAAGCGGGGGAUCUUCGGACCUCGCGCCAUUGGAGGAGCCUGCGUCGGAUUAGCUGGUUGGUGGGGUAAAGGCCUACCAAGGCGACGAUCCGUAGCUGGUCUGAGAGGACGACCAGCCACACUGGGACUGAGACACGGCCCAGACUCCUACGGGAGGCAGCAGUUAGGAAUCUUGGGCAAUGGGGGCAACCCUGACCCAGCCAUGCCGCGUGUGUGAAGAAGGCCUUCGGGUUGUAAAGCACUUUCAAGGGCGAAGAAAGGCCUGAGGCGAAUACCCUCGGGUGUUGACGUUAGCUCUAGAAGAAGUACCGGCUAACUCCGUGCCAGCCGCCGCGGUAAAAC
rnacentral:rRNA from 1 species